GAGACAUUAGUAAAAUUAGAUAUUACGCCACCUUGUCGAGGCGGAAUUGUAGGUUCAACCCCUACAUGUUUUA
rnacentral:tRNA from 1 species